UAUAAAAUGCGAUAGUUUCUCUCUUUGGUAAUCACUUGGUAAAGUUUUACAUGAUGGGAAUAUAGGCUCCAGCCAUAGACUUUAACCAUGGAGGAUAAUAAGAGUUUAAAUGAAGAUGAUCCACAUGAUCAUCAAAGUUUGGAAGGUCAAGUCCAGAAAAUGAAGAAUGAUAUCCUGGGUUUAAACUAUCCAGAAGAUAGUGAAGUGAAGGAUCCCCUGCCUCAGAUCGAGCUGAAGGCUGUGACAAGGAGAAAAGUUAAGACCAAAAGGAGGACCAGUGCCAACAGGUCCACAGUUGAACAGAGCACUGAUAGUGAUGCGGCUGAGAGAGAUUUUGUUGAUAAUCA